UAUGCUGAAAGAAACAAAGGAAGAGUCCUCACAUGGUAUCUUAGCUAAGUCCCAACUUGCUCACGAACAGUAUAAUUGUGUCUAAUGCUACAGUACAAUCAAAUACUUCACAAAAACCAGUUACCUGCCUCUCAUAACUAUUGAUGUGUUGCUCAUGUCCAUUCCAUGUCAGGUGUAUAUGCUCAUCACAUGCACUGGUGCCUGGAGUUUUCCCCCAGUGGUAUCUGGAGUCGCGCAUGUAUGCGUUGGUAUAAGACACCGCUGUGCCCCUCCCCUCAGUUCCUUGAUGCCGGAACUCCGACAGAGGGGAAGGAGAAUACUCAUGUCCAUUCCAUGACAACACAUCUCAAAGAAAAAUCAGGUACCUACCUUUCGUAACUGUUGUUCUUCGAGAUGUGUUGCUUAUGUCCAUUCCAAGUAGGUGUGCGUGCGCACAAUCAGCAGAAAGCUUUUCCCUAGCAGUACUCGUCGGGUUGGCUGUGGAGCACCCUGGAGUGUAUAUAGGGCCCUGCCGACCCGCCGCCUCUUCAGUUCCUCCUUGCCAGAUUACGCCGACAGAGGGGAAGCGGGUGGGUCUUGCAAUGGACAUGAGCAACACAUCUUGAAGAACAACAGUUACAAAAGGCAGGUAACUAUUUUUUCUUCUUAGAGUUAUUGGUCAUGUCAAUUCCAAGUAGGUGACUCCCAAGCGGUCCCCAGGAGGAGGGGGAGCACUGCUCUACCAAACGCAGCAUCAUCUCUAGCCUUCUGUCUGAUGGCGUACUGCGACUAAAAGAUGUCCUGGCUGGGGACCUGUGCUAGGAAGCAGGGCAGGAGUAACAGGAGGCACCCAUCUCAAUCCUCCUUCGGCCAGUGCCAGGGCUCAGCUAAGCAGCCUUCGAGCUCAAAGCCAAACUUUUGAAGGUGUGCCCGAGGAUGGAACAACCAGUUCAAUGCCAGGAUCCUGCUCCUCCUUUUGUGAACCGUCUAUCCCAUUUCUACCAUGCCGGGGCUCAAAUAACCUCAGACCACUGGGUCCUGAGCAUGGUAGAAUUGGGAUAUUCUCUCCAAUUCUGUUCCCUCCUUCCCUCCCACCCAGCCUCCCCAUGUACAGGCCGAACCGGGACCAUAUAGAUAGACUGAUCAUGUUCUCUCCUCAGGUUCUCAAGUCCCUCCAGUGGUGGCUCGAUCCACAAGCAGGCAGUGAUCUAGGACAAAAUUCUCUGAGAUGAUAUCAGGAAACCCUUCAUCCUGUCAGCCUCCGCAAUAAAAAGUUGAGUACACCUGCAGAAGGACUUGGUUCAUUUAAAGUAGGCCAGGGCACAUCUGAUGUUCAAAGUAUGCAAACGCCUCUCCUCGUUGGAAUUUUGUGGCUUUGGGAAGAACACUGGCAGGAAGAUACCCUGACUGACCUGGAACUGUGAUACCACCUUUGGCAUGAAGGCUGGGUUGGGAUGCAGUUGGACUUUGUCCUUGUAGAACACCGUAGAAGGGGGUUCUGAGGUCAUGGCCUUAAUUUUGGAGAUUCGUCUUGCCGAAGUGAUGGCUACGUGGAAGGCGACCCUCCACGAAAGAUGUAAGAGAGUAGGAGGCAAGGGGCUUGAAGAGAGGACCAGUGAGCUUGGUGAGGACCAGGCUGAGAUCCCAUUAGGGAACCCGAUCAUGGACCUGCAGAAAGAGUCUUUCAAGGCAUUUAAAGAAUCUGAUCAUUCUUGGAUGUGAGAGUGGAAAGCCGAUAUGGCUGCCAGGUGUACCUUGCCUGAUGAGUGCCAGACCUUGGUGCUUUAAAUGGAGCAGGUAUCCCAGAAUGAAUUGUAAAGAAGACUGAGCUGGAGAAAAGUUCCAUUCAGAUGCUCAGCAGGUGAACUGUUUCUACUUAUCCAGGUAAGUCACUCUGGUGGAGGGUUUUCUGUUUUGUAAGAGAAGCUGCUGGGCCUGCAUAGAGCAGGCCUGUUCCUCGAGGCUUAGCCAUACAGCAUCCAUGCUGUCAGGUGCAGGGAGGCAUGGUUCAGGUUCAGUAAUUGCCUGUGGUCCCACAAGAGCAGAUCUGGGUGGUUGGCAAACGUCCAAGGGGCUGCCACCGCUAAAUCCAUGAGCAUGCCAAACCAAUGCUGGCAAGACCAUGCCGGGGCUAUCAUAAUGACUUGUACUUUGUCUGUCGUGAUCCUCAGGCGGACCUUGCUGAUAAGUGAGAUUGGUGGGAAGGUAUAUAUCAGGUCGCCUGCCCAUGACAAGAAAGGCAUUAGAUAGUGAACUGCUGUCAAGAACUGGCAGGGAGCUAAUCUGGUGGCAUUUUCUGUUUUGCCUAGUAGUAAAUAGGUCCAUUUGAGGAAUUCCCCACCUCUGGAAGAUGGUCCUGAUGACCUCUGGGUGGAGGGACCACUUAUGGUGAGAGAAGAAGGACCCGUUGAAGCAAUCUGCUGUUCAGCUGCUGAUCAUCUGUGUUCCGGACCCCAGGGAUGUGCAAGGCUUCCAGAAGGACAGCGUGUUGGAUACAGAAGCCUCACAGGCGAAGGGCUUCUGGGCAGAGGGCCAAUGACCGCGCUCCCCCAUGCUUGUUGACGUAGAACAUAGAAGCUGUGUUGUCUGUCAACGCUUGCACUACCUUGCCCGAGCGCUAGGGAAGGAAUAUUUCACAAGCUAGACAGAUGGCCCUGAGCUCUCUAACAUUUAUAUUUAACAAUAGUUCCUGUUGGGACCAUAAGCCUCGAGUCCUGAGGGACCAAGAUGGGCUCCCCACCCCAAGUCCGAGGCAUCUGACACCAGGGACACCAUAGGCCAUGGGGUUACAAACGGAACUCCUCUGGUUACAUUGUGCGGGUUCGAUCACCAUGCAAAGGAGGCCCAGCGCUUGGCAGGUAGCUUGGACUACGGACCUGUGCUCUUGAGUGACCCUUGAUGAGCCAAUUGUCAAGAAAACAGGUUCAAUCCAUCAAAAGGGAGAUCCUGAAUGGACUGGCUGGACCUCCGCGGAAAGGCCUGAGGACUGCAGCCACGAUGCCCAUCUUGUUAAAAUGGCCAACACCAUUGUUCUGGCUACGGAGUUGGCUGUGUCAGAGGCUUCCUGGAGGGAAGCCCUCACCUCAGUCUUGCCCUCUUCAUGUAUGGCCAAAAACUCCUGCCUGGAUUCCUGUGGCAAUGAGUCCGCAAACUUGGCCAUGGAUUGCCACACGCUGAAAUCAAACCUCCUGAGCAGGACUUGGUGAUUUGUGUCAUAUAACUGGAGGCUGGCAGUUGAAUAAACUUUUCUGCGGAAAAGAUCAAACCUCUUUGUGUCCUUAUUUUUGGGGGUUGAACUGGAUUGACCCUGCCUAUCUUGCUCAUUGGCAGCAGACAGAACCAAGGAACUUGGGGAGGGGUGGAAAUAAAGAUACUCAAAGCUCUUAGCAGGGACAUAGUAUUUUCUCUCUGCAUGCUUUGCAACGGGACAGACCUUGACCAGUUUUACAUCCUCGUAAACAGGCAGGAUGUCUCUCGAUAGGGCCACUGCAGCCAAGAUGUCAAACAUGUCAGCUGGUUCUGACACUCCUCUGCUUCCAGUCCAAGUUUAGUGGCCACAUGCUUAAGUAGUUCUUGGUGUGUCUUAAAAUCAUCCUGUGGCACCACAUGGGAUUGGCCUGUCACUGCCUCAUUGGGUGAGGAAGAUGAGGAGGCUAGAACCGGGGAAGGGACUGACUCCGCUUUCCUGGCUGGCACAGCCUCAGCCAAAGCUGACGGAGGCUCCUGAGUAUCUGAAGCAAUCCCUUGUCUGAGUCAGGAGGCGGGCGGGAGAUCCCCCCUGGGUUCCAGAACUGCCAGGGUACAGGCCACUCGCUCUGGGGCCAUGUGCUUGUUGGCGGCCCCGGGGAAAAACCUGCUGGCAUUGUAGAGUGCGCCUGGGCGCUGUGACUUCCUCAGAGCCCAAGGAGGCAGGGUCUUCCCUCGGUGAGCAGGUCGGUGCCGCUGCUGCUUCCGUUUCCCCAACAUACAAGAUGGUCCAGGGCUUCGCACUUGGGGAGCGGUAUUGCAGCCCCAUAUCAGGGUGCCACAUGUCUGGCGAUGGUGCUUGGGGGAAUCGGCAACAGUAUUCUGUCAAUCAACGCCUCAAGCUUGGGGACUGGUGCCAGGGCUCCGGUGACCAAGAGUGGGACCGUGAGGACUGGCAUUGUGGCUUCAGGGACUGGUGCUGGGUUUCUGGGGACUGAUGGUGUGCCUUGGGAAGCUGGCACUGAUUGUCUGGUGAUCGUUGCCGUGAGUCUGGGGACCAGUGCUGAGAGUCCAGAGAUUGGUGCCGAAGACUUGGGUGGGUUUCUGAAAACUGGUAGCACAGCUCCAGAGACUGCUGGCGUGAGUGAUGUUGAGCGUCGCGGUGCAGGGAAGCGAUGCCAUGACUAUGGGGAUUGUUGCAGUGCCCCUAGUGCUGGCUUUCCUCUAGAGAGGACUGUCAUCCCAAGGUGUUGGCGGCACUAGCACUCUCAUCCUUAUGUCCUACUCCUCCUUAGUGCAUGGCUUGAAUCCUUUUCAGAUUCUACACUUGUGUGCAUGUUGGUCUCCCCCAGGCACUUCAAGCAGCUCUGGAGGGGCUCACUGAUUGGCAUAGGCUUCUCGCACCGCUCACACGGUUUGAAAUCCUGGGACAUGGGGCACGCCUUGUUCCUAAGCUAAGUUCCUUGCCAAAGCAGGAGGACGUUCCAGCACUGUCACUGCCAGCAAGAAGGAAUUGAAAGGGGGGCAAGGGCGACUGGCGUUGUUCCUUAUACUGGUGCACACGCGCACAUCUCCAGAGGGCGCUGGAGCUGGCCCUAUGGAUUCCACUGGGGGGGAAAUUUCCAGCACCGGUGCACGUGGCAAGCAUACACACGUGCAAUGGAAUGGACCUGAGCAAGCACUCGAAGAACUGUGCUCCUUAUUGUAACUUAUUUUACUUAGAAGUAUCUAGAUAAUUACAGGCUGCAUGUUACCACAGUGACUCAUCACUCUGUCAGUGACAGAAGAGAAAUGAUAUCAUAGCUACCAUGGUAGUCAGUACAGCUACGGUCACAUCAUGCAGCAGUGACAAAUGAUCUGCUACUUCUGUGAGAAAGUAAUUAGUAACAUGCAGUUAGUUAAGGAGGUUUUGAAGUCAAUCAUUUGUUUAGAUUAACUGUAACACUCUUUUCACUUCCCAGCAAGGCUUGAACAGAGUACCCUAUUCAGAACAAAAAAGGAACUUCUUUCUUAACUCACCUGCCUU